rnacentral:misc_RNA from 1 species
AAGUCGUAACAAGGUUUCCGUAGGUGAACCUGCGGAAGGAUCAUUAACACUCCAAAACACUCAUUACUCUUGGCAACAAGGGUAUAUGAAACCCUAUUCACAAGCGAACUAUACCAGAGGAUACCAAGACGCACUAAGACUCGUCUUUUGCCCUUGGUCCUUUUGGUCUCUUUUGUCCUUUUUCUCAUUCUUUAGCCCCACACAUUUUAUUUACUGUCUGACUGAGACGCAAGUCUCGUUGUUCUUCGAAAGAAGAGCAAUGAAAAUCGAUAAGGUUUAACAUAAAAACAACUCUUAGCA